ACUUCACUUUUGAUCAGCCCUCUUUCACCCUCAAAUCAAGUUUAGAGCCGUAAGUUAGCUAAUGGACCGCCUCUGGAUGUUGCAUUUGUUUGUUGCUUGAUGGCUUGUAAUGCAAACAAUUAUCUUUUAAAUUUUGGAUUUGGAUUAUGUAAUGGUUUAUCGACAAUGUAAUUUGAACUAUGUAACCUCUUGAUUGGGAUGAUUUUAAUACUUUAAUUAUGAUGUUUUCCAUUUAAUCUUUUGUACCA